rnacentral:misc_RNA from 1 species
UGCUCGUAAUAGCAGCCAUGUCAACUCUGGCACCUCUAGUACGGGAACUGCACAAGCUGGUUCAGCUGUUCAAACCCAUGUUCACAGACCUGAACCAUCACAAGUUCACAACAGCAUGUCUAGGUUUGAGAGGUCUGCUGCAUAUGGAUCCUUCAGCUUCCCAGGAAGGCAGCAGCUGGGGCCAACCCCAAGCUUCUCUUUUGGCAUGAAUCAACCAGGCUUGGCCAAUCUGGCAAUGGCUGGAUUGGGUGCUGGCCAACCUAGGAUGACUGUUAUGCCUGUCCACCCUUAUUUAGCACAGCAAUGUCCGAUGAACGAAAUGGGGUUCAUGUUGCCCAAAGGAGAACCUAAGGUUGAGCCUAUGUCAGAACCAAGUCUGAAUCUAUCCAACAAUCCAUCAAUGUAUCAGCAAAUCAUGAGUAGGCUGCCGCU